rnacentral:rRNA from 1 species
GACGAACGCUGGCGGCGUGCUUAACACAUGCAAGUCGAACGGAAAGGCCCUGCUUUUGUGGGGUGCUCGAGUGGCGAACGGGUGAGUAACACGUGAGUAACCUGCCCUUGACUUUGGGAUAACUUCAGGAAACUGGGGCUAAUACCGGAUAGGAGCUCCUGCUGCAUGGUGGGGGUUGGAAAGUUUCGGCGGUUGGGGAUGGAUUCGCGGCUUAUCAGCUUGUUGGUGGGGUAGUGGCUUACCAAGGCUUUGACGGGUAGCCGGCCUGAGAGGGUGACCGGCCACAUUGGGACUGAGAUACGGCCCAGACUCCUACGGGAGGCAGCAGUGGGGAAUAUUGCACAAUGGGCGGAAGCCUGAUGCAGCAACGCCGCGUGCGGGAUGACGGCCUUCGGGUUGUAAACCGCUUUCGCCUGUGACGAAGCGUGAGUGACGGUAAUGGGUAAAGAAGCACCGGCUAACUACGUGCCAGCAGCCGCGGUGAUACGUAGGGUGCGAGCGUUGUCCGGAUUUAUUGGGCGUAAAGGGCUCGUAGGUGGUUGAUCGCGUCGGAAGUGUAAUCUUGGGGCUUAACCCUGAGCGUGCCUUCGAUACGGGUUGACUUGAGGAAGGUAGGGGAGAAUGGAAUUCCUGGUGGAGCGGUGGAAUGCGCAGAUAUCAGGAGGAACACCAGUGGCGAAGGCGGUUCUCUGGGCCUUUCCUGACGCUGAGGAGCGAAAGCGUGGGGAGCGAACAGGCUUAGAUACCCUGGUAGUCCACGCUGUAAACGGUGGGUACUAGGUGUGGGGUCCAUUCCACGGGUUCCGUGCCGUAGCUAACGCUUUAAGUACCCCGCCUGGGGAGUACGGCCGCAAGGCUAAAACUCAAAGGAAUUGACGGGGCCCCGCACAAGCGGCGGAGCAUGCGGAUUAAUUCGAUGCAACGCGUAGAACCUUACCUGGGUUUGACAUGGAUCGGGAGUGCUCAGAGAUGGGUGUGCCUCUUUUGGGGUCGGUUCACAGGUGGUGCAUGGCUGUCGUCAGCUCGUGUCGUGAGAUGUUGGGUUAAGUCCCGCAACGAGCGCAACCCUUGUUCACUGUUGCCAGCACGUUAUGGUGGGGACUCAGUGGAGACCGCCGGGGUCAACUCGGAGGAAGGUGGGGAUGACGUCAAGUCAUCAUGCCCCUUAUGUCCAGGGCUUCACGCAUGCUACAAUGGCUGGUACAGAGAGUGGCGAGCCUGUGAGGGUGAGCGAAUCUCGGAAAGCCGGUCUCAGUUCGGAUUGGGGUCUGCAACUCGACCUCAUGAAGUCGGAGUCGCUAGUAAUCGCAGAUCAGCAACGCUGCGGUGAAUACGUUCCCGGG